GAUCCUGGCUCAGGAUGAACGCUGGCGGCGUGCUUAAUACAUGCAAGUCGAACGAAGCACUUUCGGAAGAUCCCUUCGGGGUGACUCUGGUUGUGACUUAGUGGCGGACGGGUGAGUAACGCGUGGGGAACCUGCCUUAUACAGGGGGAUAACAGUUGGAAACGACUGCUAAUACCCCAUAAGCGCACGACAUCGCAUGAUGAUGUGUGAAAAGAUUUAUCGGUAUAAGAUGGACCCGCGUCUGAUUAGUUAGUUGGUGGGGUAACGGCCUACCAAGACGACGAUCAGUAGCCGACUUGAGAGAGUGAUCGGCCACAUUGGGACUGAGACACGGCCCAGACUCCUACGGGAGGCAGCAGUAGGGAAUAUUGCACAAUGGGGGAAACCCUGAUGCAGCGACGCCGCGUGAGUGAAGAAGUAUUUCGGUAUGUAAAGCUCUAUCAGCAGGGAAGAUAAUGACGGUACCUGACUAAGAAGCCCCGGCUAACUACGUGCC
rnacentral:rRNA from 1 species